AGCAGAGAACGGUCCUGCGUAAUCCAGGCCGCAAUGGACGAACGCUCGAGAUGGAGUGACUCUCACCGCAGCUUCCUUCGGGACCGUAGGCUUACUUUCUGGCCACUCAUUAGGAGCUUGUAUAAGCCAGGAAGGGCCGUGCCACCAAAGGGUAUGUUGAAGCAGCUGUGACACCGAUAGACCACGAGAGGCGCAGUCAGCGGGAUUAUGACCCGAAGCAGUUCCGUCACCUGCUGACGUAAUUGGAGCGCCAGUACGCGAUCAUCCGCCCCGAAAAGUGCAUCGUCCACGUAAAUGCAGUCAUUUAAGAUUGGGACAGCCAACGGGAAAUUAGUUCCUUCGUCCAAAGCGAGCUGCUUAA